rnacentral:rRNA from 1 species
GAUGAACGCUAGCUACAGGCUUAACACAUGCAAGUCGAGGGGUAACGAGAGGAAAGCUUGCUUUCCUUGUCGACGACCGGCGCACGGGUGAGUAACGCGUAUCCAACCUGCCCCCAACUAGGGAAUAACCUUGCGAAAGUAAGACUAAUACCCUAUAAUUUCCUCAGAUGUCAUCUGACGAGGAAUAAAGAUUUAUCGGUUGUGGAUGGGGAUGCGUCUGAUUAGCUUGUUGGCGGGGUAACGGCCCACCAAGGCAACGAUCAGCAGGGGUUCUGAGAGGAAGGUCCCCCACAUUGGAACUGAGACACGGUCCAAACUCCUACGGGAGGCAGCAGUGAGGAAUAUUGGUCAAUGGGCGGAAGCCUGAACCAGCCAAGUAGCGUGCAGGAUGACGGCCCUAUGGGUUGUAAACUGCUUUUAUACAGGAAUAAAGUUAGCCACGUGUGGUUAUUUGUAGGUACUGUAUGAAUAAGGACCGGCUACUUCCGUGCCAGCAGCCGCCGUAA